AUCUGGGAGGCCACAAACCAUGGAAGCUGUACGCAUGGCGUAGUGGACUAGCGGUUAGAGGAGACCCCUCCCUUGCAAGUCGCAGCAACAAUGGGGGCCCAAGGUGAGAUGAAGCUGUAAUCUCACUGGAAGGACUAGAGGUUAGAGGAGACCCCCCCGAAAUAAAAAACAG
rnacentral:lncRNA from 1 species